rnacentral:miRNA from 1 species
AAGUGAGAAUGAGAUUGAGAGAGAAGAUGAGAGGGGAGGAUGGGAUGGAGAAGUAACAAAAGUGAAAACAAAAACUAAAAACUGAAAUCUAUUUGAAAUUGUUUUCACUUUUUUUACUACUCCCUCCCAUCCCCUUUCAUCCUCUCUCUCAAUUUCAUCCUCACUCU